rnacentral:rRNA from 1 species
GACGAACGCUGGCGGCGCGCCUAACACAUGCAAGUCGAACGGAGCUGAGAGGAGCUUGCUUUUCUUAGCUUAGUGGCGAACGGGUGAGUAACGCGUGAGUAACCUGCCCUGGAGUGGGGGACAACAGUUGGAAACGACUGCUAAUACCGCAUAAGCCCACGAUCCGGCAUCGGAUUGAGGGAAAAGGAUUUAUUCGCUUCAGGAUGGACUCGCGUCCAAUUAGCUAGUUGGUGAGGUAACGGCCCACCAAGGCGACGAUUGGUAGCCGGACUGAGAGGUUGAACGGCCACAUUGGGACUGAGACACGGCCCAGACUCCUACGGGAGGCAGCAGUGGGGGAUAUUGCACAAUGGGGGAAACCCUGAUGCAGCGACGCCGCGUGGAGGAAGAAGGUUUUCGGAUUGUAAACUCCUGUCGUUAGGGACGAUAAUGACGGUACCUAACAAGAAAGCACCGGC